UAAUCCCUUGAGCCCAGUGGUUCGAGGCUACAAUGAGAUGUGAUCCUGCCACAUCUCACUGUAGCCUCAAACCCUCGGGCUCAAGCGAUUCAGCAAGAAUCACACGAUUUUC
rnacentral:pre_miRNA from 1 species